GCGGCAUGCCUUACACAUGCAAGUCGAACGGUAGAGGGGCAACCCUUGAGAGUGGCGAACGGGUGAGUAAUAUAUCGGAACGUGCCCAGUCGUGGGGGAUAACGCAGCGAAAGCUGCGCUAAUACCGCAUACGAUCUGAGGAUGAAAGCGGGGGAUCGCAAGACCUCGCGCGAUUGGAGCGGCCGAUAUCAGAUUAGGUAGUUGGUGGGGUAAAGGCCUACCAAGCCGACGAUCUGUAGCUGGUCUGAGAGGACGACCAGCCACACUGGGACUGAGACACGGCCCAGACUCCUACGGGAGGCAGCAGCGGGGAAUUUUGGACAAUGGGCGCAAGCCUGAUCCAGCAAUGCCGCGUGCAGGACGAAGGCCUUCGGGUUGUAAACUGCUUUUGUACGGAGCGAAACGGUCUGGGUUAAUACCCUGGGCUAAUGACGGUACCGUAAGAAUAAGCACCGGCUAACUACGUGCCAGCAGCCGCGGUAAUACGUAGGGUGCGAGCGUUAAUCGGAAUUACU
rnacentral:rRNA from 1 species